CCUACGGGAGGCAGCAGUGGGGGAAUUUUGGACAAUGGGCGAAAGCCUGAUCCAGCAAUGCCGCGUGAGUGAAGAAGGCCUUCGGGUUGUAAAGCUCUUUUGUCAGGGAAGAAACGGUGAGAGCUAAUAUCUUUUGCUAAUGACGGUACCUGAAGAAUAAGCACCGGCUAACUACGUGCCAGCAGCCGCGGUAAUACGUAGGGUGCAAGCGUUAAUCGGAAUUACUGGGCGUAAAGCGUGCGCAGGCGGUUUUGUAAGUCUGAUGUGAAAUCCCCGGGCUCAACCUGGGAAUUGCAUUGGAGACUGCAAGGCUAGAAUCUGGCAGAGGGGGGGUAGAAUUCCACGUGUAGCAGUGAAAUGCGUAGAUAUGUGGAGGAACACCGAUGGCGAAGGCAGCCCCCUGGGUCAAGAUUGACGCUCAUGCACGAAAGCGUGGGGAGCAAACAGGAUUAGAUACCCUGGUAGUCCACGCCCUAAACGAUGUCUACUAGUUGUCGGGUCUUAUUGACUUGGUAACGCAGCUAACGCGUGAAGUAGACCGCCUGGGGAGUACGGUCGCGAAGAUUAAAACGUCGAAAGGAAGUUGACGG
rnacentral:rRNA from 1 species